GAAAAUUGAUUUGAUGAUUUGUGAGGUG
rnacentral:sRNA from 2 species